rnacentral:tRNA from 1 species
GGCGAUGUAGCUCAGUUGGUUAGAGCAUGCGGCUCAUAUCCGCAGUGUCCGCGGUUCAAUUCCGUGCAUCGCUA